CUUGUAUUAAUUGUUUAAACUCAUAGGUUAAACGUAGCACUUGAGUAAGAUGUAUUGUGUUAAAAUUGUAUAACUGUGUGUAUAUGGUUUAAAGUUUGAUAAACUGUAACAUCAUUUGAGAAGAGAUUUUUGUGUAAACUCCAGUUGUCAGUCAGUAUACAGACUGAAAAUUGUGACCUUUCGAUCUCUCAAAAGGUGAUAUAGUGGUGUGUAAAAGUACAAGUAACAGAAAUGAGGUUGAAUCAUGGCAAGCAGCUUGAUCAUGGGGAUAGUAUACCCAGUGAUUCCCCAGUUUAUUUAAUGAAACAGAAAUAUGGCCCUUCAAAUAUUAUGUAUUCAAAGAAAUGGGCAAAGUUAACUAAGAAUAAUAUAAAUCCAUGGCCAGUGGUGGGGUCAUUAGACCCUUGGGUGUUGUUAAGUUUAAGAACAAUGUUGUUAAAUGGAAAAAGUCUUUCAAAACUGGAAUGGUCUGCAUAUAUGUUAUGGCAUGAGGAAAUUGAAAAGAAAAAGCAAGAAUGUUCCCCCCAGUCAGGUGCAACAGGAGGGGCACGUAAAGGAGAGGGUACUGGUGUUGCCUGUUUGUAUCCCUCACUGUACAAUUUAAAAAGAAAUGUUAAAAAUCCUCCGCCUUAUAAUGAUGAUGAGGAUUUUUUGAUUAAUCAUGAGAUUAUGAAUCCCUCUUUGGGUCACUUCCCCUCAGCAGAUGAAUGAUGCACCACAGCUUGUACCCCAAAAUUUAGCUGGUGCCUCAGCCAUGUUGCAUUGAGGUGGUAGACCUGAGAGGGAUAUUAGACUGCCUAAAAGAUUUGCUGAUCAUGCUGUGGUAACUACAGGUUUAUCAGGAUGUAGCAAUGUGUUGCCUGAGAGUGAUGGGAGUGAGGCUAUGAUUUUACCUAUUAGAGAAGUGGGACAGAUGGAUAAUGAUGGGAGACCACGGAGGAUUUGUCAACCGUGGAGCCCACAAGACAUAGCAUUUUUACAGGUAUCAUUUCCUGCCCCCUCUAGAUCCAAAUGGGUUUGUAAAACAUUUAAAAAUAAUGUGUGCCAGCUAUUUCCCCACAACAUAAGAUCUUAAUGAGUUAAUGGAGACAGUAUUAACCCCUGCAGAACAUACUAAAUGGGUGGCAGGAUAUAACGAGUCACCUUUCUCAUGGCCUGCAGGAGUGGGGGUACAAGCAGUUGCACACAUAUGGGAAAAUUGCCCUGAUGAGAGGAGUGAUGUUGUCCUUAAGAAUUGGUAUGCAUUCCUCAGCAUCAAAUUAAAAACAGUUUUUACCCAGCCUAUUGACUAUACAUAGCAUAGUGCAAAAGAAAGGAGAAAACCCCUAUGAAUAUGCGGAAGCAAUUAAGGUUUUUGGAAGUUUUGAAGAUAUCACGAAUUAAUCAAUUAAGCCGUUCAUAGUGAAUACCUUAGUAAAUGGUUUGGAUGCUAAAGUAAAAAAAACAAUUGAUGUUAUCCUUACUGGGAUGGCGGGAUAAAUCACUUAAUAUUGUAUUAAGUGCAGCAUCGGAAAUUUGACAGGCUAUUCAAAUCAAGGAAAAUGCAAAAGCUGAGCACCUUAUGCUACAAGCUGAACAAAUGCCUGUUAGAUAUUAUGCACAUCAGCCAAGACAAAACAUAGCCAGAAGACCCCCACAGAAUAAUGUAAGAACAUUUAUCAAAUGUUUCAAUUGUGAUGGAUAUGGUCAUAUAGCAACAGAUUGCAAGGAGGUAAAGGGGGCAAGAAAGCAAUUAGAAGAAAAAGACGGACUAGAUGUAGAAGAAGAUUGGGGUCUGAAUAUGUAUUGUUAGUGUACCUGUGACCCAAGGUCCAGAACCUAUGGUACAUUUGAAAGUAAAUUAAUUGUAUGUGAUACUGAGGGAAGAAGAAGUAAGUGAUUUUGGUGGGGAGAGUGUAUAUUUAGUGGAAGACCAGCAUUGCCAUCAUUGUUGUUUAAUUCUGAAUGGUCAAGGCUGGGCCUAGAAUCUGUAUUGGUACUGGUGUGUUCUUCAUGUGUUAUUUGUUUACAAUACAAUGCAGGUCAGAGACCUAAGAUUAAGCAGCUAAAUCAUCCUCCCUGUUCAUGAGGUCCAUUUGUAAAUUUACAAAUGGAUUUCAUUGAAUUACCAAAGGUAAUGCAGUAUUGGUAUGUGCUAGUAAUAUUAGAUACAUUCUCAGGUUUGGUUGAGGCUUAUCCUUGUUGCCAUGCGGAUAUGUCUACAAUGUUUAAGAAAUUGUUACAAGAAUUUAUACCCAGGUAUGGAUUGCCUCGGCACAUUUACUCAGAUCAGGGAACACAUUUCACAGGAAAAGUAGUGCAACAGAUAGCAAAAAUUUAGCAAAUCCCUUACCAUUUACAUUGCUCUCAUCAUCCUCAGUCAGAAGGAGCAGUAGAAAGGGCCAAUGGAACAUUGAAAAACAAAAUUGCAAAAAUUGCAGCAGAGAAAGUUAAAGUGGCUUAAUGCACUUCCUCUUGCCUUAAUGUCUAUGAGAUUCUCUCUAGUUUGAAAGCAGGGUUAUCCCCUCAUGAAAUUCUAAUGGGAAGACCAAUGUUCACAGGAGGGGUACCUAUAAAAUGUUAUUCUCAUGAGAUAAAUGAUGAUUUAGUAAUGACAUAUUGCAUGUAGCUAACAAAACGAUUAGUCUCUCUAUAUGCAGGUAAAAGCUGUACAGCGAACAAGUGAAUACCAACCUUUGCAUGCCAUCGCUCCUGGAGAUUAUGUUAUGAUAAAAGACCAUUCACGAAAGCACGCGUUGCAACCAAGGUGGAAAGGACCUUGUCAAGUGUUAUUAACCACUAAUUCAGCUGUUAAAGUCGCAGGGGUUAAAUCUUGGAUCCACAUUUCCCAUUGUAAACUGACAAGCGC